CUUCGUUUCCAUCGACGGAGACCAAAAAAAAAAAAUUUCUUCUCACCACUGAAAAAUGAUUUUUACCAACAAACCUCGAGACGAUGAUGGGAUCACACCGGUGACUUCUCCUGGAUCCUGCCGUGCCUCCGACGAGUCCGCAUAGCUCGUACGCAGCUACAACCUCUCCACUAUCUCUCGAUUUGAUUCCUUGUCAGUGAAUCGAUUUCCCCCAAAUUUGCAACUCGAUUUUCAGUAAACUCCGACCGACUAAACACCGCCUCAGAACUAUCCUUUCCGCUAGAACUUCAGUGAUCUGAACACAUCACAUAUCCUCCUUGGAACGUUACCGGCGACUCUCCCGAGCUUUCUCCGUUCUAUCAAUAAACCCAUCUCCCUUCAGCUUCUCUAUACUCGUCUCCCUUUAGCUUUCACUGUCGUUUAAGACGUUCUCUCUCAGCUUCUCCACCUCGAGCUAAGUACCCUGUGCCUCGCCUUCAAAACGUCCCUGCAGGUAACCUUGUUGCUUCUCCUAAGCCUUCUCAUUAUCGUUUAAGAAAUAAUCCGGAGUUAUUAACUCAUUGUUUCUUUCUUUUGCGAGACAUCUUCGAUAAUGGAGCUACCUGCGACGUUCUUCGGUUUUACUCGUUGAUGGAAAGGAGAUCACAGCAGAGAUCAAACUUAGGCCCGGGUUCAGACAUGAAGCGGCUUAUAAGUCCAACUGCAAAACCUAAAUCAGGUCUCGAUCCGACCGUUGCGUACAUAAGACUUCCUACCGCGCUUGCAUACGGUUCCUUGCUGGCUGGGAAUGGGCUUGAAGAUUUAAAGUUGUGGCCCACUUUACACUCUAAAGUAGUAGUCAUCGAUAUAAUCUAAGAUCCAAAAAUUUGUUCCAUCAAGAGAUUCAGAGGUUAAUACUAAUCCAAGAUGAUCAGAGCUAUGAAAGAUGAUAUACGGAUCAUGUAUGUGAUAUCUGGUGCAUCCGAUCUCUCCAAGUGAUAGGAGAGUCACAUUUGAAUGAUCCAAAGACUUAAUGAG